rnacentral:tRNA from 1 species
GUCCCGUUGGUCAAGUGGUCAAGACAUCGCCCUCUCACGGCGGGGUCGGGGGUUCAAUUCCCCCACGGGGUACCA